UCUCACACACUCAUAACAUAAAAAAAAUUUCAUAAGUGUCGCAAGAACAAUCACUUCCUUCAGUUAGAUAGUAAAGGUUUUGGCCUUGGAUCUUUAAAGUAAAGUCGUAUUACAUUGGAAACUUUGGUGACAUUUUUUGGUGGAUCCAUGUCAGGAUAACAUUCUUGGAGCAUCACUUCUACAUAGAUGUCUGUCGGGAACACUCUAGAGGCAAAAUUCUCGGAAUCGUCAAGAGAUGGUAGACUUUCUUCUGAGUAUAGUUAUUAGCUUGAGAUAAUGACGCAACAUCACUAGAGACUAUUUUUAACGAACUUCUAAGUUUAGAUAGGUGUUUUGUAUGUUCAGCCACUCCACUAAUAUUUUUGUUUUUGAAUUUUUAAACUAUUUUAUUUAUUAUUUUAAUUAAGUUCAAUAUA